GACGAACGCUGGCGGCGUGCUUAACACAUGCAAGUCGAACGGUAAGGCUCCAGCUUGCUGGGGUACACGAGUGGCGAACGGGUGAGUAACACGUGGGUGACCUGCCCUGCACUUCGGGAUAAGCCUGGGAAACUGGGUCUAAUAUCGGAUAGGACCAUGUUGUGGAUACUGUGCAGGAAAGUUUUUUCGGUGUGGGAUGGGCCCGCGGCCUAUCAGCUUGUUGGUGGGGUAAUGGCAUACGAAGGCGGCGACGGGUAGCCGGCCUGAGAGGGUGGACGGCCACAAUGGGACUGAGACACGGAGCAGUCUGGUACGGGAGGCAGUAGUGGGGAGUAUUGCACAGUGAGCGGAAGUCUGAUGCAGAGACGCCGCGUGGGGGAUGACGGCCUUCGGGUUGUAAACUCCUUUCACCAUAGACGAAGGGUUUCUGACGGUAGAUGGAGAAGAAGCACCGGCUAACUACGUG
rnacentral:rRNA from 1 species